GAUGAACGCUGGCGGCGUGCCUAAUACAUGCAAGUCGAGCGAAGCGGGGACGGGUGAGUAACACGUGGAUAACCUCCUAUAAGACUGGGAUAACUUCGGGAAACCGGAGCUAAACCGGAUACUAAUAGAUGGAUCAGCGCUGCAUUAGCUAGUUGGUAAGGUAACGGCUUACCAAGGAAAAGAUGCAUAGCCGACCGGAGAGGGUGAUCGGCCACACGGGAACUGGGAAACGGACAAGACUCCUACGGGAGGCAGCCGUGGGGAAUCUUCCGCAAUGGGCGAAAGCCUGACGGGGCAACGCCGCUUGAGUGAUGAAGGUCUUCGGAUCGUAAAACUCUGUUAUUAGGGAAGCGGUACCUAAUCAGAAAGCCACGGCUAACUACGUGCCAGCCGCCGCGGUAAUUC
rnacentral:rRNA from 1 species